UAAGGAAUAUUGGACAAUGGUCGCAAGACUGAUCCAGCCAUGCCGCGUGCAGGAUGAAGGCCCUAUGGGUUGUAAACUGCUUUUGUACGAGAAAAAACCUCUUUACGUGUAAAGAGCUGAUUGUAUCGUAAGAAUAAGGAUCGGCUAACUCCGUGCCAGCAGCCGCGGUAAUACGGAGGAUCCAAGCGUUAUCCGGAUUUAUUGGGUUUAAAGGGUGCGUAGGCGGAAUGAUAAGUCAGUGGUGAAAGCCUGCAGCUUAACUGUAGAAUUGCCGUUGAUACUGUUGUUCUUGAGUAUAUUUGAUGUGGGCGGAAUGUGUCAUGUAGCGGUGAAAUGCUUAGAUAUGACACAGAACACCGAUUGCGAAGGCAGCUCACAAAACUAUAACUGACGCUGAGGCGCGAAAGCGUGGGGAUCAAACAG
rnacentral:rRNA from 1 species